GAGUUUGAUCCUGGCUCAGGACGAACGCUGGCGGUAUGCUUAACACGUGCAAGUCGAACGAGAAGGAAGAGCUUGCUCUUCCUGAAAGUGGCGAACGGGUGAGUAACGCGUGGGUAACCUACCCUUUGGAAAGGAAUAGCCUCGGGAAACUGGGAGUAAUGCCUUAUAAGAUACGUUUGUCGCAUGGCAUUUGUAUUAAACGCUCCGGCGCCAUAGGAUGGACCCGCGUCCCAUUAGCUAGUUGGUGAGAUAACAGCUCACCAAGGCCACGAUGGGUAACCGGUCUGAGAGGGCGAACGGUCACACUGGAACUGAGACACGGUCCAGACUCCUACGGGAGGCAGCAGUGGGGAAUAUUGCGCAAUGGGGGCAACCCUGACGCAGCAAUACCGCGUGAGUGAAGAAGGUUUUCGGAUCGUAAAGCUCUGUUAUUGGGGAAGAAAAAAAGACGGUACCCAAGAAGAAAGUUCCGGCUAACUACGUGCCAGCAGCCGCGGUAAUACGUAGGGAACAAGCGUUGUCCGGGUUUACUGGGCGUAAAGGGCACGCAGGCGGUUUUUUAAGUCAGAUGUGAAAGGCCACAGCUCAACUGUGGACAUGCAUUUGAAACUGAAAGACUUGAGUAUUGGAGAGGCAAGUGGAAUUCCUAGUGUAGCGGUGAAAUGCGUAGAUAUUAGGAGGAACACCGGUGGCGAAGGCGGCUUGCUGGA
rnacentral:rRNA from 1 species